GGUGCAGCCAAAUGUGAGGUCUCAUGGCUGAGGAAAGGUAGACUUAAAUGGAAUACGUUCAAACGCUGGAUCGGCACAGACUGUCACCGUGGUCCAAAACGCAGUGGCCAAGCACCCAAUAUGUCUUCUAUGAGUGCAAGUGUAAGACAUCUUGAAGAUAAGGCUCCAGUGGAUGUCAAGAUGUUUAUCCCAUACGACUCUGCCAAGCUAUGCAUAACCCAAAUAGCAGAUGAUAUGAUUGCAAUGAAGAGCAGACAUCAGGAGAUGAUUCAAGAACUGGAGGAGAACUUUCUCGUUACAUCACGAGAGAAUCAGGUGAUAA